UCAUGGCUACUACUUAGAUUCUUUUCUGCUGCCAUGAAGGGCACUCCAGGGGGGGAAUAUUAUCUUAAUCAAAUCCUACUAAUACCCUUAUGAACUAAGGCAGUAAGACCCCACUUUUAUAGAGGAAGACUUUGAGUUGAAGAGAAGCAACUUUCCCAGGGACAAAUAACUGUUGGUUAUAGGACUAGGAUUUCUGAGUUCAAGAUACUUUCCAUGUCAGGCUCCCCCUAGUUAAUGUACUGAUCUUUACUGCCCUCCAAUCAUGACCACUGCACUUUCCUUUUUUUUUUUUUUUUUGAUCCUUUAAUUAUAUGCUAAAUAAAAUUUGUGUAGAAGUUACAAAUUUGAAGUAUAUGGGGCAGCUAACGUUUUGACAUGAGUUCUGAUAUUGUCUGAACUACUCUUAAGAAUUUAAUAUAUUUGAUAAUUGUUUUUCAUUUAGUAUUAAAAUAGUAAUAUUAUUUACUUAUUUUUAUACAUAGCAAUUGCCACCUGAUUUCUGAAUAUAAAGAAGAAAAGCAACAUAAAGGUCCUUCUCUAAAUGGCAACCCAGUGUGUGAGAGUUCUGAAGAAGACUCUUUAAGCAGGUAGGAUUUUAUGGAUUUUUUUAAACUAAAAGGUUAACUAAGGGAACACAGAGAAAAGAAGCUAACAUCUUUUGUUACCUCAUAGACUCAUCACAACUGCUUUGCAAAGUGACUGUUCUAGUAUAGUCUACGCUUCAUUAAUUAGGUGACUGGGGUUUAGGGAGGUUGAAUGAUUAUCCUCUGAUUCUAUAGUUUAGAAGUAGCUGACCUGUGAUUUGACCAUCAGCCUGCCUGACUCCCAGACCCACUUUCUCAACCCUCGGUAGAGACUGAGAAAUCCACGCAGCACUAGGGUCAAGACCCUCAUCGGAUCAACUCUGAAAGUCAGACCUAGUGACGUGUGAACUCUGAUUUAGAAUUUUCCUAAGAAACCUUGUUAGUCUCAGUCUUUGUCCUGGUGUAUUUGAUAGUCACAGUGGGACCUAGUACCUUGUUUUUCCCAUUAAAGUGUUAGGGCAGAAUCUAGGUAUCUGUGGCCACAGAACCAUAGGAUUUUACACAGGCAAGGCCUCAUUA
rnacentral:lncRNA from 1 species